UAAGCGUGAUAAAAUAAUAGAUAAGCCGGGACUCGGAUCCACACUAGGACGGACGUUGUCGUCGAACAUGUUCGUUGAUAAUGUUUAGUCAGUACGUGUUUAUUAUGUGUGCAAAUACAAUAAUCAAAUGUUCGCUCAACAGGCGGCAUUUGAACGGACAUCAAAAAAAAAAAAAUGUGGCAAUGCCGUCUUAAGUGUGUAGACGUGAUCGAUAAAUUAGUUAUAAUAUAUACAUACAAUUUAUUUAGCUUUAAAUGAAUAAGUAUUUUUGAAUAAAUAAUUAUUGUUUAAAAAUUGUACAAGAAUUAACUAAUUAUUGAUCAAGCUUAACAAUAGAU